rnacentral:misc_RNA from 1 species
GAUGAAGAACGUAGCGAAAUGCGAUAAGUGAUGUGAAUUGCAGAAUUCAGUGAAUCAUCGAAUCUUUGAACGCACAUUGCGCCCGCCAGCAUUCUGGCGGGCAUGCCUGUUCGAGCGUCAUUUCAACCCUCGAGCCCCCCCGGGGGCCUCGGUGUUGGGGGACGGCACACCAGCCGCCCCCGAAAUGCAGUGGCGACCCCGCCGCAGCCUCCCCUGCGUAGUAGCACACACCUCGCACCGGAGCGCGGAGGCGGUCACGCCGUAAAACGCCCAACUUUCUUAGAGUUGACCUCGGAUCAGGUAGGAAUACCCGCUGAACUUAAGCAUAUCAAUAAGCGGAGGA